rnacentral:sRNA from 1 species
AAUGGAGCGGACACCGCGCAGCGCGGCCGUGCGUCCCGGGGCUGCAGCCAGCAUGGGCCACACACUCAGGUCAUUCGUGAUUUCUUUGGCAAUCGCGAUAGCAUUAACCAAUACACCCGCCUGCGGCUUCACCAUACCUCGGUUACAAACCAAUUUGGAUUCAACAACAGAUUUGGAGACUGGAGAGAGCAGACAGCUGGAAGUGAAGUACGACUUGAAGACGCUAAACGAUAAUAAAACCUUCGAUAUCAGUAGGACAAAAGGAGAUCUUGAACCCACUGUCAUAGCAAUCAAUUAUCACAAAAAAGCAGACAGUAAAAACAGCAGCAAUGAAAAGGAUAAUCAGACACAGCCGAAUGCAAAUGGUACAAAAUCGAUUGUAGCAGCAGAUAGUACAAUAGAGACGACAACUACAGCACUAUUCGCAAAUCAAAAUAAUACUGGAGAGUCUGAGAGAAGUCCGGAACUUACAACACCAUCUAUCCUGCAGACCACACCGCUAUUUACGGAUGAUAUACUGGAAAAUGUAAUAGGUGUAAACAAAACGCAUGAAGUAAAUACGGGUAACGAUACCUCAAGAGCACAUAGUAAUAAUACUGGAAAUGGAAACAACAUUACCUCUUUGGAAACAAAAUUUAACAGUUCCUUAGAACAAACGGAACGCAAAGAUACUCGUUCUAUAUUUGGUAAUGAAAAUAAAAUGAAGAACGAAAGCGAUAUCACUGUUCAGAACGCUAAUGAAACACACUUCAAAGAAGAUAAUACUAUUGCAAAGACCGACGCUCCUGCGACUUCCCCGUCUGACUAUAAAACAGAUGUCACAAAUGUCACGUUUGAUACUACAAUAACAGAAGCGACCACAACCAACAGUACGGAUGAGAUUGCUACUACUGACGUCCAACCACUCACGCUACCCUCUUGGAAAAAAUAUACAACGAUUGAUAGAAAACGUACAAGCACUGAGGUUACUACAGCUCAGGACAAAGAUAUGGUACGAGAGGAAACCGCUCAAACCCGUAUAAGUCUUGAAAAAGUAUUUAAUAAUACACCGAUACCAUCCUUAGAGAAAUUGAGAAACGACCUCAUAAAUGCUCAAGAAUCAACGACUAUCAAACUUGACGUAACCAAUGCGACCGAAGUGUAUGUUUCGGAUAACCGUACAUCGACACCAUUUAUGACAAAUGAAACUACAAAAUUGGAACUUGUGUCUAAAAGAGCUGGUUACAAGGAUAACAGAGAGACGACCACAGAGAAAACAGGAGAAGCUACGGCCUCUCUGUUCCCGCCUAAAGUUAGCGCGAAUGACACAGACGUGUACAAUACCAUGUACGAGACAGAACCGAGCGAAGUAGAGGUGACAGAAAACAAGAAUGAUACAGUCCAUGAGUCGCAAAGUCAAUUGGCUGAGGACGCGAUCAAAGAAGAGUUAUUAAAGGAAGAAACGCUCAACGACAAUGAAGAGUAUGCAAAACGCUAUCAUGAAGAUGAACGUGGUACCUCGUCGAGAGGGAAACAAUCAAAACAUGGAACCAAUGCUGCCACUGAAGAUUCCCUUAGCGUCAAACCAAUUGGCCAGGAAAAAAAGAAAAACACUAUUUUAUACCCAGUCAGCCCAAAUUAUAAACCUCUUAAAAAGAUCGAUGUGCAACCACCAAAACAAUUCAUUCGCGACCCAGAUGAUAACAGUUGGAGAAAUGAAAGCAUUAGUUCUCUAGGAAUUGUAUUCAAACCAAAAAAUGCUUCUAAAUCUUUCACACAGGUUCUGAAGAAUAAAACGGAAACUGAGUUAGGAAACAUGACAGAUAACAAAGAUAGCAAAGACGAUGUUCCAGACUUAAGGGUCAGACUAGAAAAGAUUGCUGAAGUUAGAAAAUCUAAAAAGAAGAUCAAUAAGUAUGGUGAUACUGUGUACAGUGACUACGAGGAGUCUGUUGAGAACGUGAACAAUUCCAAGGAAGAUACGACCUCGCCUAUGAGUCCAGCUAUGGAUUUAUUCCCUAACUUCACUCCGCCCCCUACUCCUAAAACAACCACCACCGAAUUUGAGCUCACAGUUAAUCCUAUAUCAGAAUUCGACAUCUUCAAAGAAGACGUCACGACUCCAUUGACAACGACUAAGCCAAAGAAAUUUUAUAAUUUGGCAGAGUAUUACGAUGCAACAGAUGAAUAUGAUGCUGACUAUAUCAAUGCGCACAAAAUCGAUUUAAAGAAAUACACUCAGUCGCUGAAACCAAAGGACAACCACGUUACUCAACCACCGCAACCACUUCAUACAAAACCGAUGAAAGAAUAUCAACCUGAGAGGAAAGCAACUCUUCAGUACUUCCCACCUACACAGAAAGUUGUUCAGAAAGUGAAUCUAAAUGAUUACGAUGGCGAUUUCGAUAGGAAAGUGAACUUGUACACUUUUAAAUCACCUCCUAAGACUAUGCCGCCUGCUUCCUUUGGCACAGUAUCUCCUAUUCGAACAGAAAAGUAUGAACAAGCAAACAAAGUAACGAUGAAGCCUCUCUACACACCGAUGUAUCAAACUGAAAACAUGGACAAGAAUCUGUACUUGACGAACCCGUCGCGCGUCACCGACUCCCCCAGCGGGUUUGUGCCCAACGAUGGUAAUUUCAACAGAGCCUCGUACGUCAUCAAACAUUACCGGGACUUCAUCAACGAGGCGGCGAAGGAGGGCGACGACGGCAAUGAGUAUCUGUACACGGAACCGCCCAUACGCGGGGUCACCGUGCAACGAGCUCUCCAAGAUGACUACUCCCAAAGAUGUCGAGGACGAUUACGACUACGACGUGAAGUUCCGUAAGGACAUCAUUAACAGAUUCGUGGACAACUUCAACCAGAACAGUGAGCGGUUCAAGGUGGACUUCCCGAUCCUGUACAACAGCAGCGUGGUGCACCGGCAGGCGCCGCAGCAGGGCCGCGUGGCGUCGUCCACGGCGUUCAUGAAGCGGCUGUACGAGGUGCAGGCGCGGGGCGCGGGCGGCGCGGGGGGAGGGCGGCGGGCCUGCGAGCCGCACUGCGACAACAUGACGGUGGAGCUGUCGCCCGCCUACGAGCUGCACUACUACGUGCCCGACCAGGAGGAGAAGGAGGAGAUGGAGCAGCGCCCCGUCACGCUGCCCUACCGGUACCGGUUAUGAGCACGGCACUGACGCGGUGCCACACUCGGACUGAUCACGACUAUUAAGUUUAUUGGUGCUUAUCGUCGGUAACGAAUGGCGAAUGAUUGCCGGAGCGAAUAGUAAUUAUAUAAACAACAAUAAUGAUAUCGCAAAUCAACUCGUUGUUAUAAAACUCGGUUGUUUCGUGAAACUGUGACAGAAUUGGGACUCUAUUGUUCAAUAAAAUGUAGCGUGUAUGAACGCGGUGUACUGUAGCUUGUACUCAGGUAUAACCUGAAUCUAUUUAAAGGCCUGUAAACAGGUUUUGCGUGGAAAUAAAUGUAGUGACCAAACUGAUUUUGUACUUAAUUUUCUAUUCAUGUGGUGUGUAUUUCGAUUUAUUUUCUAGUUUCUUUGUUGUAAGAAUCUAGAAUAUGAAAUAUUUAAUUCAUUUUUGACUAUGUAUGUAUUCCACCAAAUUGCCAAAGAUGUUAUUUUUAUGAUAAUUGUGAAGAGGCUUUAUGUAAUUUUUAAUGUUUACAAAAAUUAAAUUAUAUUAUUUUUCAACAAAAAUUGUACCUAAUGGGUGUCAUAUCAUGAGGGACUGUAUAUUAGUGUUAAGAAAAUGUGAUACAUAGAAAAUCGGCUAGUGUGCUUACAAAAAUAAUGAAUAAAAAAAAUUAGGCCUAUAUUGCCUGAGCUAUUUUGUAAAUAUUUACAUUUGUAGAUGAUACAUAAUGUACGAAACGAAAAGACAUGAGUAGCUAAGUAGGUAACAGCUACAUAGCUAUGUAACUUUUAGAUAAUGAUACGAAUGAUCGAUGAAGCACCAUAUUCAUGAUGUACUUACAUUCUAUACAAACGCAAUUUAUAGUUACAGUUCUGUAGAAAUAAUCAUUUUGUCAUAUUUGUGUUCGUAGACUGAGCGUUUAUUUCUAUAGGAAAACUGUUAUUGACGCAAGCGUUGUGAGUUUGUGAUAGUAAAAUACAAUUUUAUAUAGAACUUCAUUUGGUUUUAUUUCCGACUAGCGACCC